rnacentral:rRNA from 1 species
GAUGAACGCUAGCUACAGGCUUAACACAUGCAAGUCGCGGGGCAGCAUGGGGGUUGCUUGCAAUCCCCGAUGGCGACCGGCGCACGGGUGAGUAACGCGUAUCCAACCUGCCCUUCACCACGGGAUAACCCGGCGAAAGUCGGACUAAUACCGUAUGUUGUCCAUUGACGGCAUCCGAUUUGGACGAAAGGUUUGGCGGUGAAGGAUGGGGAUGCGUCCGAUUAGCUGGACGGCGGGGUGACGGCCCACCGUGGCGACGAUCGGUAGGGGUUCUGAGAGGAAGGUCCCCCACACUGGAACUGAGACACGGUCUAGACUCCUACGGGAGGCAGCAGUGAGGAAUAUUGAUCAAUGGGCGUAAGCCUGAACCAGCCAAGUAGCGUGCAGGAUGACGGCCCUAUGGGUUGUAAACUGCUUUUAUGCGGGGAUAAAGUGGCCCACGUGUGGGUUUUUGCAGGUACCGCAUGAAUAAGGACCGGCUAAUUCCGUG